rnacentral:rRNA from 1 species
AACGAACGCUGGCGGCAUGCCUAACACAUGCAAGUCGAACGAGACCUUCGGGUCUAGUGGCGCAUGGGUGCGUAACGCGUGGGAACCUGCCCUUAGGUUCGGAAUAACUCCCCGAAAGGGGUGCUAAUACCGGAUAAUGUCUUCGGACCAAAGAUUUAUCGCCUUUGGAUGGGUCCGCGUUGGAUUAGCUAGUAGGUAGGGUAAAAGCCUACCAAGGCGACGAUCCAUAGCUGGUCUGAGAGGAUGAUCAGCCACACUGGGACUGAGACACGGCCCAGACUCCUACGGGAGGCAGCAGUGGGGAAUAUUGGACAAUGGGCGAAAGCCUGAUCCAGCAAUGCCGCGUGAGUGAUGAAGGCCUUAGGGUUGUAAAGCUCUUUUACCCGGGAUGAUAAUGACAGUACCGGGAGAAUAAGCUCCGGCUAACUCCGUG